rnacentral:tRNA from 1 species
AGCCCCGAGGUGUUAAACACAUAAGAUUGCAAAUCUUAAGUAGCCAAUUGAUUUUUGCCGGGGCUU